rnacentral:lncRNA from 1 species
AUCUUAAAGAUCCGUUCGUCGGAUGCACCGUAGGGGUGGUCUAUCGUAUUCCGCUGUCAUGUGGCAGAUGCUACAUAGGCCAGACCAGAAGAUGCAUCAAUGCGCGCUUAAGAGAGCACAGAAAUAAGGUACAAAGU